GUCAUUUGUUCUUCCGCCAGCGCCCAUCGUGAAGACCACAGUUUCCUGUCGCGUGGAUGUGUUUCCUCUCUGGCCAUUGCCAUCCGCCCAAAUCUACAGACAUCCCGCAUGUUCCCGGGCUCGUCUCCCCAAUACAGGGCACCAAGGCUGUAGACUGCGCAGCCCUCCUGGAGACAGAUGGAAGCUCCUUGGGUCGACAGAUUACAGCUUCUGGAACCCCCUACUCCCUUCAACUCCGAGAUGGACACCCACUGUCCAGGGAGAGGAUGCCUGGAAAUAACAGCUGGGAUCUACAGUGGCCAAAGAGUUGUCUCCGUCUUGCUACAUCGACAAACUGGUGCUCCUGAGUGAGGAUUGUGCCCUGGGAUGGGGGAUUCAGUUUCUUCAUUUAUAGUUGGAAGUGGGUGAAGCCACUUCGGAAGCGUUUUCCUCUCCACUCUGACAACAGGCAAGAGUGAGGGUCCAACAAUACAGAGGAAGUAACGUGUCGCUGCUACUCUUCCAUGCCCAGUGCCAGGAGCGACGGUACACUCCAGAGUGCUGUGCCCUGAUGGGCCUUUGAGUGGCCAGUGCAGUGGAUCAUCAGCCCUGUCUCCCAAGAGCUCCAGUCCCUUCUCCGGAGAGGAAGUGGGUCCACUGGCAGCUCAGGAGGCCAUAGCAGAUUGUGGGGCUCUGUGCAGUUGAUGUUAGUUAACCACUGGAUCCACGUGUUCACCGUGGCUUGCGCCCCUGCAUCCGAAAGUGAUCUUGGCUGCCGUGUCCUGGUCAUUGGUAGUGCAGGGAAAGGAUGCGGAAAGACGGGCUCCGAGCUCGGGGCGUCUGGCCUGGAGCUUUCCUACACUUGUGUCUUGCUCUGCAGCCUUACGGAAGUGUGGGUGGCGCUUUCUGGAAGCUGCACAAGUCAGUGCUGGGUCUUCGCAACUUGGUGUUCUGUUUCCAGAAACUUGGGGUGUUUGCAUGUGCUAGGUCAGCACAGAUUUCCAAAGGAUCUCUAGGAUUGUCACGUGUGCUCAACAGUCCUCCUCGGCUUUCCAGAAGAGGCUGGAACAGGGCCCUUGAAGAUGUUUGUGGACAUCAGAGGGCCAAAGACGACACAAAGUGAAACUGGAGACACCGCCCCCCCUUGGCAUCAUGAAACUGCCGAUGUUACUGGCUCAUGCAUGGGAGACACCAGCAUACAAAGUCUUGACACCAACACCUCAGAGGGCUGUGUUCUGUCCCCGUGACCAUCAUCUAGUGCCUGGAAAGACUAGUGACAAGAACUUGUUGCCAACUUCCUAUUACCUCCCUAACAGUUGUGCAAUAAACCCCAUAGGUUAAUUCAGUCUGCCUUUUAAAUCUGUGUCAACCCAUGAAUUCAGGGCUAGGUGUGGAAAAGGAGGCUAGCUCCUGACACGCCUGUGACUUUCCUGUUCUUAAUGCCCCCUGAGGCUUGGGCUUCAGGGUGUUGGGAGUGGACAAGUAGGGCUGGUAGUCUAUAUGAUUUUAGGGCUUGUGAGAGUUGAGAUAGCUGAACAGAGAAGGUCAGAACUUGGGGAAGGUGCCUGUGUCAAUAAAAAAAGGCUGGGGUGUCACAGUCCUAGGAAGUGACGUAUCAUUGCUGAGAACUAGGGGUGUGAAUGGGCAAAUGGACUGGAAUAUAAAAUGUAGAGCAUUUUCCUGACAGGACAGGUUGCUGUAGACAGGAACGAGGGUAUGCUCAGUGACUGGCUUUGGAGGACCUUAAGGAACAGAAGUACUCUGGGUGGGGUGGAAGAGAAGAAAUGCCCUUGAGUGACUUGGAUACCAAUAGGGCCAAAGAGAAACUGGUAAAGAGGGUGUAAUUACUGAUGGAUUUAUAACUAGGACUUUUCUAUUGGAAGUGAAGGACCUGGGGAAGGCUUGGUAAGGCUGCUUACCAAGCUUAGAUCCCAGAACACAAACAGGUAAAUGGUACAUUUUUAAAACUAACACAUUUUUCUUGUCUGAGAAUUUCUAAAUUUUGAUUUUUAAAUUAAGUCUGUGUAGGGAGGUCUGCAGUUCACAGAAGGCAUAUGAUCACCGGACUGGGUGUUAGAGGUGGCCUUGAGCCUCCUGACAUGAAUGCUGGGGACUGAACCCGACCUCUGCAAGGACAGAAUUCAUGGACCAUCUCCAGGCCAGUGAAGAGCUUGAUAGCAGGCUGUAGGUGUGGACAGCUACGGUGCCCCUGGACUUGUGGGAACACCAAAGCUAGGGGUUGGUUUGUAAGGGGUUCGAGACAGGGUUUCUCUGUAGCCCUGGCUGUCCUGGAACUCACUCUAUAGACCAGGCUGGCCUCCAACUCAGAAAUCUGCCUGCCUCUCCUAAGUGCUGGGACUAAAAGCAUGUGCCACCACUGCCCGGCCUAGUUUUUUAUUUCAGAGAAAGAUUUUUGGAGUUAUUCUGAGUGGGGUGGUCUUUCCAUUCUGAGAAGGUAUUAGCUAAGAUUUGUCUUGAUACUUUUGCAGUUUUUUUUUUUUAAAGAUUUAUUUAUUAUUAUAUGUAAGUACACUGUAGCUGUUUUCAGACACCCCAGCAGAGGGAGUCAGAUCUCAUUACGGAUGGUUGUGAGCCACCAUGUGGUUGCUAGGCAUUGAACUCAGGACCUUCAGAAGAGCAGUCAGUGCUCCUAACCGCUGAGCCAUGUCUCCAGCCCCUUGUAGUGGUUUUUAAGCAUUCUAGAUAUCUGGAAUUUAAGCUAGAGAUGGUUCUAGAAAAGUUCUUGAAUUUUUAUGUGACAACUUCUAAUGUUACUGGGCCUCAUGAUGGAUGCUUACCAAGGCUGGGAUUGACAGUCAUUUAUCUUUAGAUUUUGGGUGUUCCCAUUAGCAUUGGUUACUAUACAAAUUUAUUUAAUAGAGUCUUGAAUGAUUAAGGAAGAGAAUGGAGCCCUCUACUGUUGGUUGGGAAGAACGUUAACAUUGGUACUGAAAGAUCCUGACAGAAUGUAAAAGGUCACAGAAGCCCUGAAAUUGACAAAAUAGAUUUCAUUGUUAGUAGAAGUAGCUUCACUGAUUUAGAAAAACAGAGGUGCACAGUGCUCUGGCCCCUUCUUGAAUCUGUGUCUGAAUGUUCUGACCGUUCCUUGAACCCAGCUGUGUGUCCACUGCUGCACCUCACUGCCAGGUGUUUGUGAUAUUGGUUGCUAAGAUAGAGUCAGAAAAUCUCCCCAGCAUUAGACUCUCCUUGUUUCCCUCCCAUACCCAUUUCUUAAGAAAUCAAUCAUUUUACAUUGUUUAGAUCUGGAAAUCCCCUACUCCCCUCUUCUCCUUUCCCCCCUGAGGACCUAUAAAAACUGGGACCCCUUUCCCCUCGGGGUCAACUCCUCUACCCCUGAGUGGGAUACGAGUCGUCCCCCGAGUUCUGGCUUUCCCCAAAUAAAGCCUCAUGUGGUUUGCA
rnacentral:lncRNA from 1 species